UAAAAAUGUCAAUGCUCACAAUUACAUAAUUCACCAACUUCUUCAAGUUGAUUAACAUACCAAAUUUCUAGAUACAACAUUCAAAAGGUCUACAAUGUGCAAAAAAGGAAAAAGAAAGAGAGGGUGAGGACUGAGGAAGCAACAAUUCCUACUGACUUGCAGGAAAGGAUAAUGCUCAUUAUAUGAAGGAAAAUAGUCCUUAUUACAUUACAUGGUUGAAUUUCUCCACGGAACAACAAACCAAAGGUGUCAUCUUUCUUUCCAAAGUCCAAGUACUUCUCAUCAUCUAAAUUAUGUCACUUACUCACAUUAAUGUUGACAGUAUGAGAUCAGAUCAGAUAUCAAUUCAGUUACCCUAAAAUUCUUAAUCA